GCCGCGGUAGCUCAAUUGGUAGAGCAUCGCAUGCGGAGUGCGAAGGUUGUGGGUUCGGUCCCCAUCUGCGGCA